GUGCUCACUUUGGCAGCACUUAUAUUGAAAUGAUACAAAGAAGAUUAGCAUGGCCCCUGAGGAUGACAGGCAAAUUCAUGAAGUAUUCCAUCAUUAA
ensembl:snRNA U6 U6 spliceosomal RNA